CCAGCUAGUUAGUAGACCUCUUUCCCACAUCGCUUUUCACAUAGUAUAAUACAGUCUUCUUAUAUGCGAGCGAAAGAGAAGAGUUCGUCCCUUCGGGGACAUCCGAUAAAAUUGGAACGAUACAGAGAAGAUUAGCAUGGCCCCUGCGCAAGGUUGCGCAUGACACGCACAAAUCGAGAAAUGGUCCAAAUUUUUUUUUGCCUUCUCUCCCUCCCUCCCUCCUCGUGCUGCGGCGACGGGAAGCACCGGAAACCUAUUUGCGAUCUACAGCAGCGGUGGUGCGAAAGAUUGGCGGCAGUGGAACCCUAAUCUUGCGCGAAGAAAGAGUUGCAACCUCAGAUUGGAACUGCAAAUUCUGAUGGACCUCUCUGAAGGGAAGAGAACCCUUAUCAAGGGUGACACGAAUUCUUGCUUAGUCACAUAUAGUUCAGUUCAGUUCAGUCAAUUGUGUGUUGUUUCAAAGUAGCUUCAAGAGGAAAAAGAGGGUAUUUAGAUUCAGUGCUAAAUGGAGUUAUAAGUGCACAGUUUGUUGUCUUUAGCUGUUUGGUAAUUCCUGUGUUUGAUUUUUUGUAUAUACAUAUAUAUGCUCAUGUUGGAUUUCUCUCUUGCAUUAUAUAUACAUAGUAAUUGUAUGUGGACAACUUAAUCCUAAUUUUAUUUCUUCCUCUUUUCUCUCUGUUGAAUUCUUCAAUGGGUUCUUGAAAUAUAACAGAAGAGUUCACAAAAGAUUUGUAUCUAUCAUAUAUAUAUAUAAAGUCUAGCCUUCUAUGGAGUUUCCGUUUCAUAGCCAGGAUUAGAUGAGCUUUUAAUAUGUCAGAUUUCUAGUUUGUGAUU